GUGCUUUAGGGAUGAACAAGUCCCUUAUAGUCAAUAACGAUCUAAAUCACUUAGUCAGUGGCCUUUUCUUGGUGGAUUGUUGAUCAAUUUGUUAUGGGAUAUUC